rnacentral:sRNA from 2 species
CCGCCUGUCGCGCCGAGCUCCAUCCAAUAGGCGGGGGACACCGACCCACAUGGAUGGAGACGGGGGACCCACCGGUCCACCGUGACCGGACCGGGGCCGCUCGCGGCCCCUUGGGGUGAAGCCCGCACCGUCUCGCGACGGCGCAGGCCGGGUGGCCUCUCCGACCCGAACCCGACAGCUGACCUCGCAGGCGCGUGACGAGAGAGGAA